GACCGGCUUUCCACUGAGCAAGGCAGCUCUUUCCGAUUUCCGCCCAUAGCUCGACCCUCUCCACUAUCUCCACGUUUAUUAUUCCGAAUCCCUGUUCAUAGACAGUCCUAGGGUUUCUUCCCGGGCCUUCCGCCCGCCGGGAAAUGCGGUGACUCCGGUAGCGACGCUUUCAUGGACCAUCCAAUUGGAGGCGGCCUCUUCCCCGGUUCCUCCGCCGGAAUUCUCGACCUCCAACCCUCCACUCGUCAUCGCCUUCCCCCUCCCGCUGCUCAGUCGAUGUCUCUAUUCAGUGAUGACGAAGACGCCGCUAUCGCUGGAGGCGGUGGCGAGGACAGUCCCAGCCAUGACUCCCUUCAUCGAGGCAAAAAGGGCUCACCUUGGCAACGCAUGAAGUGGACCGUCGACGUGGUCCGCCUUCUGAUCUCUCUCGUGGCCUCGAUCGGUGACGACGCUGGUUCGAUGGAUACCGCCGGGCGGAAGCAGAGCGUUGCGAUGCAGAAAAAGGGGAAGUGGAAGAUGGUGUCUAAGUUGAUGAUGCAGAAGGGAUGCUAUGUUUCACCCCAGCAGUGCGAGGACAAGUUCAAUGAUCUGAACAAGAGGUAUAAGAGGUUGAAUGAGAUUCUGGGCAGGGGAACCACCUGCCAGGUCGUGGAGAAUCCCGCUCUUUUGGAUUCUAUUCCUCAUGUUUCUCAGAAGGCUAAGGAUGAUGUGAGGAGGAUUUUGAGUUCUAAACAUCUGUUCUAUCGAGAGAUGUGCGCUUACCAUAACGGGCAAAGGGUACUGGACUCAAAGGUUGGAUUUUUGAAGUGCGGUGAUGCUCAUGAGGUUGAGGAUGAGGAUGAGGAAAAUGAGGAGGAAAAAGAAGAGGAUGAUGAGGAUGAAGAUGACGGAUGUGGAAGCGAUGAUUUUGGCAAGGUGGGCUAUGAUAAACUUUGCGCUGAGAUUGAUUUGGUUGUUCAGGAUUCAACAAAAACCCAGUGUGAAAGGAGUGUCUGGAUCAGGAAACGACUUUUGCUGCUUCAGCAGGAGAGGGUGGGCAUACAGUCUGAAGCAUUUGAGCUGCAAAAGCGGCGAAUGAAGUGGAAGAGGUUUUGUAGCAAGAAGGAUAGGGAAUUGGAGAGUCUGAGGAUGAAGAAUGAAAGGCUAAGGCUAGAGAAUGAGAGGAUGACACUGCAAGUUAGACAUAAAGAGCUGGAGUUGGAUUCCAUGAGAUCAGGGGAAAUGGUUGAACCUUUUGUUACUCAAGUAGAGGGCGAGCGGGUUAGAGCUCACAGUGGAGUUGGAAGGUUACAAUUGAAAGUUAUGGCCUCUUAGAAAUUUGCUCCUCACUUCGUCUCUGUAUUCGGCAAGAGAAGGAACUUGGCAAGUGCAUGAACUUGGGAAGUCUCAUGUUGACUUGAAUUUGAUUUUCUCAUUGAGUCCUCCAAUUCAAUGAUUCGCAGUUGCUUCAAACACAAGGACUCGACAAUCUCUUAUGUGGCCAAUUCUGAUUUAGUGAGAGAAGAUUCUAAGGAAAAUAUCGCACAAUAAGAAGCAGUAAGAAAGCCCUUCCAAACGAAGGCUUAGAUAAGAAUGUAUAUCAAGAAGUAGAAAAUAAUGUUACUCUCUAUUUCAAGUGGGAUAUAUACUUAUCAAGAAGAAACAGAUGC